CUCUUCGCUACUCCGUAGUGACGGAGAUUGUUGUGUUGCAAAAAUCCGGCCGUCGACCUGAGGACUUGCGUGCAGCUCAGCUCCCGGGACGUUUGGAGCUGCUGCUAAAUAAUUUCUGCUCAGCCAUGUCGCCGGCUCCAGAUGCAGCCCCGGCUCCUGCGUCGAUCUCCCUGUUUGACCUCAGCGCGGAUGCUCCGGUCCUUCAGGGCCUGAGCCUGAGGGAACAUUAUAAGCUUGACUGGCAUCGGUUUAACCUAAAGCAACGUCUCAAGGACAAGCCUCUCCUGUCUGCCCUGGACUUUGAAAAGCAGAGCUCCACAGGAGAUCUUUCCAGCAUCUCAGGAUCAGAAGACUCAGACUCAGCCAGUGAGGAGGACUUGCAGACACUGGAUCGGGAGAGGGCUACAUUUGAGAAGUUUAGCCGACCCCAAGGCUUUUACCCUCAUCGAGUUCUUUUCCAGAAUGCCCAGGGCCAGUUUCUUUAUGCCUACCGCUGUGUCCUAGGCCCUCAUCAGGAUCCCCCAGAAGAGGCAAAACUGCUGCUACAGAAUCUGCAAAGCAGAGGUCCCAGAGACUGCGUGGUGCUCAUGGCUGCAGCUGGGCACUUUGCUGGUGCUAUAUUUCAAGGGUGAGAGGGUGCUGCAUGGGGGUAAGGAUGGAGUGGAUCCUGUUAGCCAGGGAGCACCAGCUGGUCUCCAGUACUGAGUCUGUGCUGUCUACAGAAGAGAAGUGGUGACACACAAAACUUUUCACCGCUAUACGGUGCGAGCCAAGCGGGGCACAGCCCAGGGGCUUCGGGAUGCCCGAGGUGGGCCAUCACGCUCUGCUGGAGCCAACCUGAGGCGCUACAAUGAAGCCACACUAUAUAAGGUGAGUUAAGCCUUUUAGAUCUGGUGGUAC
rnacentral:sRNA from 1 species